AGCAGCCGCGGUAAUUCCAGCUCCAAUAGCGUAUAUUAAAGUUGUUGCAGUUAAAAAGCUCGUAGUUGAAUUUCGGGAUCAAUUUAUUGGUCGUGCUAUUGUACGUACUGGUAUUAUUGAUUCCUACCUUCUGACGAACCAUGAUGUCAUUAAUUUGGUGUCUUGGGGAAUCAGGACUGUUACUUUGAAAAAAUUAGAGUGUUUAAAGCAGGCUCACGCUUGAAUACAUUAGCAUGGAAUAACGAAAUAGGACGUUUGAUUCUAUUUUGUUGGUUUCUAGGAUCGACGUAAUGAUUAAUAGGGAUAGUUGGGGGCAUUAGUAUUCAAUUGUCAGAGGUGAAAUUCUUGGAUUUAUUGAAGACUAACUACUGCGAAAGCAUUUGCCAAGGAUGUUUUCAUUAAUCAAGAACGAAAGUUAGGGGAUCGAAGACGAUCAGAUACCGUCGUAGUCUUAACCAUAAACUAUGCCGACU
rnacentral:rRNA from 1 species